rnacentral:tRNA from 1 species
GGGAAUAUAGCUCAGUGGUAGUGUACUUGCCUAGCAUGUAUGAGGCCCUAGGUUCAAUUCCUAGAAUUGCAA